rnacentral:tRNA from 1 species
GCCCUUGUAGCUCAAUGGAUAGAGCCUCGGUCUUCGGAACCGAUAGUGGGGGUUCGAGUCCCUCCAGGGGUG